GCCCAACCGACUGAGCCACCCAGGUGCCCCUAAAUUUUUUAUUUUUAAAUUGUUUGCUACUAGUAUAUAGAAUUGUAGUUUACUUUUAUCUAUUGUCUUGCAUCUAACAACCUUGCUAAACUUACUUAUUACAUCUUAGUUGUUUUGGAGAUUCCUAGGAUUUUUUUAGUCCAAAAUAUCAUAAUAAUAAGGAUAGUGCUUAUUUCUUACUAAUAUUUAUGCCUUUUAUUUAUUUUGUUUGAUUUAUUGCACUGGCUUAUGAGCCCCAGUUGAAUAUUGAAUAGACCUGGUGAGAGCUGACAUCCUUGUUCCUGAUCUGAGGGGGAAAGCAUUUAGUCAUUCACAAUUAUGUUCUUAGCUAUAAGGUUCUGUAGAUGACCUCCAUAAGGUUGUCAAGAUUCACUUCUAUUUUUAGUUCCUGAGAGUUUUUAUUGCAAACAAGUGUUGAAUUUUGUCAAAUGUUUUUCUUAAUCUUUUAAUAUCUACCCUCAUAUUUAUUAUUUCUGGUGAUCCUCAUUACAUAGUAAUGACUUAUUUUCUUCUAAUAUCAUUUUUCUUUAUCCUGAAGAAAUUCCUUUUAAAUUAAUUAUAUAAUCAUAUAGAUUCUCACAUUUAUUUGUAUCUGUUAUAUUAUGACCUUGUAAUAUUUCUUUAUUUUCUGAAAGACUAUGUAAAAUUGGUAUUAUUUGUUUCUUACACGGUUGAAAGAACUCUCCAGUGAAAUCAUAGGGCCUAUAGUUUCUCUGUGAGGUUUUCCAUUUUUUUCUUUUCUCUUGUGUUAGCAUAACACAAGGGAUUUUUUCUUCAUUGCAUCUGAGUUAUAGAAUUUAUUGUCAUAAAAUCGUCCAUAGUCGCUUGUUAGUUUUUUUUCAUGUUUGUAGGAUCUAUAAUGAUACCUCUUUUCCAUCCUGCUAUUAGUGACUUGUGUUUUCUCUCUAACUCUCUCUCACGAGUUCAAGGUCAUCAACGAAUAAUCUAACUGCCUAAAGGAAAAAAAGUUAAAAGUCAACACAGGAAGAUAACAGAAGACAGAAACUCUGUAACAUAUGAUCUACAAGAUCCUGUGUAUAAUAAAAAUAACUAAAAGGUGCCUGUGGUCAACUGUGGUCAGAAGCAGAUGAUCCUUUUUCUGGCGAAUCAUCUGAAGGUCAAUAGUAGCCUAACUCUACAUCAUUGCCUGCGUCAUUCACCUCCCACCCCAUCACGUAGGCAUUUUAUCAUCUCACAUCAUCACAAGAAGAAGGCUAUUAUUCCCUAAAGAAAAUCUUGUACCCCAAAUUCUAUAUAAGCAUCUGCUUUGGGACAGUUCAUUCCAUAAUUGGAAUUUCCAGCUCUGAGAGGAUUGUUGGCCCCAGAGCCAGGAAUCAAGGGACAGAAAGACUGCCUUCCAGUCCUCAUGAUGGGUGCUCAGGAAGCCAUCUUGCAGGUAAGAGACUGUCCUGAAACAUUCACUGGUUAGGAGUGGUCAAAACAGGGCUGUAAUGUGGCCAGUAAAGAGUUAAAGAAAAACCCUAAUCCACCUCUAGGCAUCAGUCUAGACCUCACAGAGCAAAGCCAUUUCAGGGCUUGAUGAAUACUUGGCUGUGAAGGUUUGGAGCUUAUAGGACAGGCACAGACCGCUGUGAUGAGAAGCCAGCAUUGGACACAGAUGUGGUGGGCAGAGUGGGGUCCAGAAGAGAAGGUGAUGAGAAGCUGCAGGGGAUCUGCAGAUCACAGUGGCAUUCAACUGUAUUCAAGUGGCCUCUUGAUUUUUCUGUUUCACCUCCCUGCCCAGCCAUUCUGUCUCUUCUUCAUGGCAGGGACUAUGUGUCAUUCCCUGUAGCCAUGGCAGUACCCAGCACGAAGCCUAUACACAGGAGACAUAUUUGUAGAAGGACUAAACUGAAAGUAGCCAACAAAGAGGCCCUAUGGCUCAGACAACCUUCAGCUUUCCAGCACUACCUUAAAAGAUUCAGUGUGGCCUUCUGGAGGUAGUCAGUAAUAAAAGCAGCAUCAGUGAUCACUGGGGUGAUUUGCAGGAAAUUUGCAGUUCCAGCAAAUCCUUGUACAGCUUCAGUUAAAACUACAGUGUUCCUUUGUUUUGUUUUGUUUCCCAUAACUGGCAUGACCUAAAAACUAAAUGCUAUAUUUGUUAAUCACAUGGAUAGAUGGAUGGAUGGAUGGAUGGAUGGGUGGAUGGAUAGAUGGAUGGAUGGAGUCAAAGAAAGAUACAGAGAGAAAGAGACAGGCAGAUAACCUCUUCUGCAAUGUAUCAGUUAAGAUGCUUUUGGCUGCAAAUAAGAGAAAAUCUGGCUGAAAGUGGCAUAAAAAUGAGAUGUUGAUUAUCUCACAUAAGAAGUCUGGUGACAGGCUCUUCCAGGUUUAAUUUUGUGGUUCAAUGACAUUGUCAAGGGCCCAUUUGCUUUGUUUUUAUGUGUUAGCAUUCUCCUCUGACUUGAGUUGAUCCACUCUGUCCCCUCAUGGUUACAAGAUGGCAGCAGCAUCUCCAAGUGUCAUAUCCUCACCAAAUAGUCUCCAGAAACUGUUCCUUCUUGCAUUUAUGUCUAUUUCUCAAGAGCAAGAAAAGCUGCAUCGGUCAUGAUAAAAUAGAUUAUAUAUUGUAGUAACAAACAAACCUCCAAAUGUUAAUGGCUUAAGACAAUACUAGUACACUGCUUGCUCAUGUUCCAUGUCUUUCACAGAUUUGCUAACUCACUGUAAAGGAUCCACGCUAAUGGAGGCUCUCAUCUUAAAAAGAACUUCAGAUGUUGCAAUGACAGGGGAAGAGAAGGUUGGAAAGUGUAGCUCCUGCUGUUAAAUCUUUUGGCCUGAAGUGGCACAUGUACCUUCCUCCUAGGUUUCAUUGGCCAGAACUCUACCAAGUCCCUGCCUCACUUCAAGGAAAUAGGGAAGCACAAUUUACCAUGUAUGUCUAGUAGAGGAGAACCAGAUAAUAGUGAACGUUAGCUAUGUCUUCCAAAGACAGCUUUCCCCCAGAAGCCCCAAGUCUUUUAUAGCUCUUUGUCUCGAAUUGGGUCACAUGGUUAUGGCUAAAUGAAAACCUCAUUCAGGGAGAAUGGAUCACUAUCAAUACUCUGGUGCGAAGAAACAUUUGUGCCAGCAAGUCAGGAAGGGGGUUGAUCUGAGUAGGCAAACAUCAGUACCCUCUGCGUGCUAUAAAUGGACUUACUUGGCAAUAUCUGUAAGUCUAUUAAAAAGGUCCUUCAUAAGAGGAUUUGAUUCUAGAUCUAGAAAAUAAUGCCUCCAUGAGUUAGCCCCUUGCUCACUGACAAUUCUUUAAUCACCAUGGGAGGGUCAGACCAAAACAGAUCCUGCGACAGGUACCGUUAAGGAUUUUGCCUUCAUCCUCCAACAGCUUUGAGAGAUGAAUGGUGGACUUCAGACAAUAAGAAAAGCUUAUUUCCCAGAAAAAUUAAUUCAAACAAACAACCAAACAAAAAGUCUUUGAAAGAAGCCAAUGAGUUCUUUUAUUCAGAGUUAAUGAGGGACGGUUGAAUUCUUUUAGUUUCUUCCUUCUCCCUUUCCUCUCUACCCAUCUAUCCCACUCAUAAAAUAAAGCUACAUAAAGUGCCAUUGCCCUAUUUUGCCAUGGUUUUGGGCCUCACAUGUUUGUGAUUCUGUGGCAGCAUGGGGGCAGUUUAGUGAAUGGUUGAAAGGGGAGGGGGAGAAUUACAGCAGAUGGUUGAAAUUCCAGAAAAGUCAGUCAUAGCACCCCUGCUAAGACUAAAAUUGCUCUAUUUCUGGGUAGGUCCAAACCUGGAAGUUGUUUACCUACAUAGCCUCCUUGAAAGGAAAAGCCGAGGGUUGAAAGAGGAGUCCAAACCUAUAGUGCUGACUUGAUCCCAACCCCAAAACAGGCAUGUGGGGUGUGUGUGUGUGUGUGUGUGUGUGUGUGUGUGUGAGACAUAUGGCAAUUUAAAACAGUUAAACAUAUGAAGAAUGUUUUUCAUUCACAGAUGGUUAAAAAAAAAGGGAUUUAUUUUUUCAUGUAACACAUUCUCAGGGUUUGGAGCCAACCACCUCCAGGGAGGGUCACAAAUCCACUCAGUGCCCCUGACAACUCAGGUUUAUGUUUGAAGGUCUGCUUCAGCUGAAAGAUGAGUAAAACUGUGGUUAAGUCAGACGUUCCCUGGUGGCUCUGGGGCCUAGGGGCACUGAUUAUUUCAACAAGUCUCUAUGAAAAAGUCCAAUUGGGAACAUUUGCUUCAGAUGGAUUCACCUGUUCAAGGCAGGCGAAGGAACAAGAUUUAUCCACUGAGCUAAAUCCUUCCCAUGGCACUUACCUGGCAACAUUUACCUGGCGACAGCUUUUCAGGAGGGGCUCCUGGGGCUGUAAAGAGAGGGAUAGAGGUGGCUUUCCUAUGGCAACCACAUUCUCCUUUUCUCCAGUGAAUAAAGUAUUGCUACUUGCCAAGGUUUUCUCCUGCUGCUAUGAAAGCAAAUUGUGAUCCAGAGUGUCCAAUCAGGGCACCAAAUCUCUGCACUACUUGCAAAGGCAAUUAUUCCACUGGGGCUUUUGACGGUGGGAAAAGAGAAUUAAUUAAGUCUCAUUGUAAAAUUAAGUAGCAUAACUAUAUAUUUUAGAAUGAGUGCAAUUAUGCCUUAUCUUAGAGUGUUGUAAAUUCUUUGUAACUAUGAUGUGUUAUUAGAAUUUUUUUUAGAAUUGUAGAACUCAACGGUCUUUAGAGAUCACGUAAUGAAGCAACUUCCUUUUUGUAAGGAUGAAAACAAACCCAGAGCAGUUAUGUGACAGACUAGAGCCUAUAAGUCUCCUGACUUAAAAUCUAGUAUUCUUUUUUGUUUGACUUGCAUUUCACACAGAGAUAAAGUCUAAUGCAGGUGAAAAUAGCAGGUGGUCAAAAUGGUCUCUGAAAAUCUCUUAGAAGGGCACUGUGCUGCAAACAAGCACCUGUCUUCCACUGAGUCCAACACAACCAAGUUUGCCUUCAGAGUAGAUCUUUGUUUCUCAAGUUGUGCACCAAAUGAAGCAGUGGGUUGGGGCUUAGAGGCUAUAUUGUGUAGAAAACGGGUCUUUAAAGUCAAGGAUCACAAUCUGUAAAGAUGCUUGCCGCAAUAAAUGACACCUACAGUUGAGACCAACUCAUGGAUGAAGUGUUCUUAGGCAGCGAAUGAAAGGGAACACUGGGAUCUCUGAAGUGUUCUCUCUGUGACCUCUAACCUGCCUGGUGCUUUACCCUGUGAAGUUUAACCUCCCUGAAAUCUAAAUUUUGUCUCCUCAACUUAGCCUGCUGCAGGUAAUUUGGGACUCCCCUGUCCCUGGGUUGGAACCUGGAGACUCUCUUCGGACAUAGGCUGUGGCAACCACAGGCUCACCUUGGAGUUCUCCAGAGAACCAGAACCAACAGGAUAUAUAAUAUAUGAUUUAUAUAAUUUAUUAUAAAGAAUUGGAUCCAGUGAUUAUGGAGGCUGACAAGUCCUAAGAUUUGUGGUCGGCAAGCUGAAGACCCAGGAAAGCAGAUGGUGUAAUUUUAGUCUGAGAUCCAGGAAGAGCCAGUGUUUCAGUUUGAGUCUGAAAACAGGAAAAAAAUGAUAUCCCAGCCCAAAGGCAAUCCGGAAGAAGGAGUUCUUUCUUACUCAUGGGAGCCUUUUUGUUCUAUUCAGGCCUUUAACUGAUUGCAUGAGGCCCACCCACACUAGGCAGGGCAAUCUGCUUUAUCCAGUCUACUGCAUAUGGUUCAUACACUUAUACCAUCCAGAAACACCCUCACAGACACAUCCAGAGUAGGGUUUGACCAAAUAUCUGGGUACCACGUGACCCAGUCAAGUUCACAUAUAAAGUUAACCGUCACCGCUGUUCUAUCUGCUUUUGUCCAAUGUAUAAACAUUUUUCCUUCAAACAUUUCUUCUGUCUAUUGUUAUUUAAGGUGAGAGAAUACAUUUAGUUUUAUUUAACUCUAUCUUAACUGAAAGUGGAAGUGGGGCAGAUGCAUUAUUAUUUUGAAGGACGCGGUCACAUUUCCUCCCUUGGGAGUUUCCCAUUUCAUCUUCUGAAUCAGCAAUGGCUACGUGCUCCUCUUUCCCUGCCCCUCUAGUAGAAUGUGUUGUCUGACUUCAGGAUUAUUGUUUGUCUCAUGGAAAGAAAUGGCAUCUCUGGAUAUUUUUAAUUUGCUUUUCUCUUGUAAUG